CACAGUUGGGUGAGGACGCAACAACAUUUUGUGUGGUGCAGUCGCAAGGUCGAGCUUUAUGAUGGAGUGAAAGCAAAUACAUCGAUUUGUGGGACUUGGGCUACCUGUUUUAAUUAAGAUUAUGCUCUGAAAAAUCUUAUUGUGAGGAGCGCACCGAGCUACUGCACAACAGAUACCUGCAAGCCACUUAGCCUUUGGUUCACAUGGAGGACCUAAAAGCCCAUUAAUGCACCUAUUAUAUUCAGACUUAAUAAAAUAAUUUUUAAAUUCUACGAAUUUUACUUUUGAUUUGAAAUUAUGACGAUGAAGAUAAAAGUGAUUAUAAGGGAAAUAGGUUAUUAUAUAGAUGUGAUAAUUGUUUGAGAACUUGACGAUCGUGCGAUUUUUCAAUUGUACCUUAAGAAAUCUAAAAAUGAAAUUGUUUAAAAGCUUUGUUAAUAUGCACAAUUUGUAAUGAAAUUUAAGCGUUUGAAAUAUCUUUAUCCACUAAAAGAAUGUCACUAAAAGUUUUAUUCCAACAACCCACAAUGAUGCUUAAAUUAUAAAUUUACAAUAUUGUAUUUUGAAAAUCCAUUCUCAAAAUUAGAGUUAAAUAACCCUUGGAACAAAUCCAUUCGUCCUCCUGAAUAACAUCUAUUUUCCAAUUACCUUAAUGUAGUACAAAGGUCCAUUUUGACGUGUUCUGGCGUUUGCUACGGAAAAUUGAUUUAAAAUUGACGACUUCUUCAAUACUGAAUAGAAUAAUGAAAAAGGGAGAUAUCCUGACGCAAAAUUUAUGUCAACAGUUUAAUUUGUCCAAAAAUUGAGCCUUUAUUUACUGAUUGUAUAAGAUUGACCACAUUUUUCCAUUCCUGUUCUUUGAAAAAAAGUUUCCUUCCUCAAUUUAUUUUUGAAAUAUACCUAAUUCAAUCGUGUUUU